rnacentral:rRNA from 1 species
ACGGAGGAUCCAAGCGUUAUCCGGAUUUAUUGGGUUUAAAGGGUGCGCAGGCGGAUCAAUAAGUCAGGGGUGAAAAAUUUCAGCUUAACUGGAAUCGUGCCUUUGAUACUGUUGGACUAGAGUAUAAUUGACGUGACUGGAAUGUGAUGUGUAGAGGUGACAUGUUUAGUAAAGUCGCCCAGCGCCAAAAGUGUGGACAAGUAACAAUAUUAUUGCCGACUCUAAUGCGCGUAAUCGUGGUGAUCCAAAAG